GGCAGCUCCGUCCCAGAGCCGAGGCCACAGCGCCCCCAGCCUGCGCGCCGGGUCCCUGCACCCGCGCCAGAGCCCGUGCCACGCCGGGCGGGCGCGGACCGCAGACGGCGGCUCCGGGGACCCAGAGCACCCGCUCUGGGGGCGACGCCUGAAAGAGCCGGACUGGGCGAGCGCAGCUUCUUCCCCAGCGCCAGCGACGGACACCAUCGCGGGGCUGGCCGGGGAGCCGCCUGAUUGCGCCGCGCGGGCAGGGCCGCCUGGGCUUCCCCCGAUGAGAUAAUCUAAGGACAGAGAUGUUGAAGUGCUCAAGUUCCACAAGCUGAACACAAGCAGGAUAACGGUGAAGUCCUUGCCUUGUCCAGAAGACAAAUGUCAUUAGCCAAGACAAGAGGAAGGAAUGCCUCUGCCACUACAGGGAAUGCCUCCCUCCAGACCAUCAUCAGUUAAGUGGCAACCUAUGGAGUUUCCUGUGACUCACAGCCAAAUGCAAAUUUGAACUGAUACUGUGUACUUCUGGUGGAGUUGACUUUACCCCAGACUCCAAGGGUCAGAAUGAGACUCAGGAAAUUUCCUCUGGGCAGUUGACCCAACAACGUCCAAGAGAAUGUAGUAAUUCUUUUGCUGGAAUAACUGGCCAAGAGCCAGUCAUGUCUUCUCCUACUGAAUGUAAACAAAAGAAGGAUAUGGGGCCUCUGGAGCUGCCUCCUGUCCCCUUGCAGGAAGAAAUAGCAUCAUUUGGCUCCUUCUCUCUGCUCUCUCCCACAUCUCCAUUGCUCUGACUCAUCCUCUGUGUAUCAUCUGGGACUUUGAUUUCAGAUCUUUAUGGUAUGCAUCCCCUUUCCUCAUUCCUUCUGGCAUUAUAAGUAAGUUUCACAAAUAUUUAUAUGAGUGGUGGUGGUGAUGGUGAUAGUGAUGAGUUUGGUUUUCUUUUAUAUGUUAUGGAGUUUUAUUUUGUUUCUGUUGAUUCACCAUUGCUUCUUUUAUCCAACCUUCU